CCUCGCCUGACCCCUGAGAGCGCCGAGCUGGCUUCCACGAUAUGGGUGCCUGCAGCUUAUUUAGAAAAUAAAUAUCUACCGGUAGGAGACGAGUGGGGUGACUCAGUGGGUAAAGGUGAAAGAGACAUUGCAAAGACUUUCAGGACUUUAAAAGUUGUAAUAUAAGUUUGGUGUUGGUUUUUUUUUUUUUUUUUCCUUUCCACACUCCUUUGAGGUGGGCUAUUUCUAUGAAGAAAAUUCUGCUCACAUUACAAAAGGGGGAUGUCAGGGGGUUUGACUGUCAUUGAAGUUGAAAUGAACUUUGUCACCCUGUUUAAAUAUUUAAGUCUCCUGACACAGGCAAAUACAUCACGAAGUGCUAAAAAAUAUAUUUAAAAAUACAGCUGCCUUUGAGAUGAAGCAUUUCUAUUCCCACUGUAUCAGUUCACUUUGCUAAAGCAGCCCUGAGGUACAGAGUAUGGCAAGAAACUGUGGACUGGAUAGGAAGCUCCACUAUCAGAACCUGUGCAUUUGCAGGGGUAGCAUUUUGUUUUAUGCUCUUUUAGCCACUCUGUUGAUUUCCAAGAGCUUAAACAUCUUAUCAAUAUGCACAUGUACCAGUUUUCUUUCUACUUCCAGUAAUAUUAUGUCCUUUUCCCUUAAGUAGCUGUAGUUUUAUUAUAGUUUCAUAUUGUUUUGCAUACUGGUAAUGUUUAGGGGAUUUUUUUUUUUUUUUACUUUCUCUUAGCAGUCUCACCUUCCCUGCACACAUACAAUGUUUCCACUUUUAUGUCUGUUUUUGGUUGUAUUAAAAGUGCUAAUUUAACUCAGAAGUCAGAAAACGAUCUUCAAACCUUGUUCUGUAACACGUCUUCACUUUGGAUGCAACACUGAGAAACAUAAUGGAUGUACUUUAAAAUAAAAGUGGAUUUUUUAAAAGAUUUAUUUUGAUAAAAUAAUUGUCAUAUGAAAACUUUAAUGUGAUUCAGGGCAGAAACCAGUUUUAUUUAUAUUGGUGCACUUUGUCUGAGAUUAUCUCAAAGGGUAAUAGCUUCCUGGGCAGCUGCGAGUGUGCAAGGCUAAAGCUGGAGGCACUUGUGUGAGUGGGACCCCUCAGCCACAAUUUAAAGUGUUGUCUCAAAAGCAAACCAUAUGCACCAUGCUGACAGCAGACAGUCUCUUUAGUUUCAUCCCUUCAUGAGGAGGUGGAGGGACUCAUGAUGAGCACUCUGCUUGAAUCUCCUGUGGGCCACAAAAGUGAGAGGCUGGAACUGGAGAUUGCCAUGAAAAAGACUUGAGUGAACUGAAGGAGACCAGCUCAUAGUGGAAAUGAUACGAUAAAGGUAGAACCAUAAACUUCCAUUUUGCUGAUGGUUUCUCCAACUCUGGCCCCACACCAGUUUGGUUUUGGUGGGCUUGGCUGAUAACACACACAUCUUAAUCUCCAAGGGUGUGAAAGAUUCUACCAAAUCCUACAGCUGAUGAGAAGUGAGGCAUUUAUACAUCCUUAUAGGUUGCUUUGUACAUUUCUUGGAGACAGAAAAAUAUUCAAGAUAGAUUGUUCGCAAACAUUUUGAGUAAAUCCUUCCAUAUCUGAAGGAGAAGACCAUUCAGGUUGUGCCCUAUCCUUACAACUUUUUAGUUGUUUUCAGAACAACUGAAAAGUGCAUAUGCAGCACCUGCUGGGAUAAAUAGGGGCUGAAAGUUCUCCUAGGUAUUGAAAAAAUAAUCAUUCCAGUUUCCUUACUACAGCUCUUUUUUGAGUCUGAAACUAUAUAAACUAUAUAUCACAUAUUGACAUUUAUGUCCUUCAGCAGUGUGACAUCACUUGUCACUUAAUGUAAAUUUGUCCGAGUCAUACAAAAGUCAAGUAUCUGAAAUGUGAGCUCCUAGUUACAAAGAAAUAUACUCUUACUGACUGACUCAUAAUUUUUUUGCUCUUAUGUUCAAGCUCGUGGAAAAUGAAUAUGCAACCAGGAAUUAAGACGGUAGUUAAAACCUACAUAAAGAAUUUUAAACAAACUGUGCAAACUCUACAAGUCUAUGUCCAGAUCCCAUCUGCUCUCAGUCACAAAAGUAUGUAAAAUAAGCCCUUCCAAUGAGCACAGUGGGAUGGGGAUUCCUUCAGCGUGACACUGAUGUGUUUGACCUGCCCUUGGCCUACAGAUGUGUGCCCAUGUGUGAGCAGCGAGGAUGCUAUCUGCCUGAAAAGGUAUAUGCAGGAUAAACACAUUGGGCUGGUGUUUCAAGCAAUUUGAAGAUAAGUUUUGAGUAUACUUUUUAAAGCUGUGACUUUGGUGAAGAAAGCAACUAACAUUUUUAAUCUGUCACACCCCCAAAGACAUCUCUUUGUCCGUCCAUCUGUCUUGCUUUGUUUUCAGGCUGUUUUGUUGUGAAAGUGUUUUUAGGGAUACCCUGUGGGAUAUAUGUUGUGGAAUAUGUGGUGGGAUAUAUAUUGUGUUUGAGGUGAUGACUCUGUGGUCCUCCUGUGCAUACCAGAAGUGAAUUCCUUUCUAAUUAUGCACACCAGCUGCUGUCCAAGUUCUGUCUCCUGCACUAACAUGUUUCUGCACUGGGAGAAACACUUUGUUCACAUCUGGGGAGUAGCUGAUGUAAUGAGUCAUGAUUGCAGAGGACAAAUCCUAAGCAUAAUUCAGACUAGUUGUAUGUGUGAAUUUGAAAGUGCAGGCUAAAAUCUUAAAUAUUACCUUGUCUUUAAUAGGAUGCCAGCGGAGGAAAUGGAGUAAUGGUGUGAUGUCUUCUCAGCAAAGAGGCUGUUCUCAUGUAAAUCAACUUUCUUGAGAUUAGCUGUUGUAAACUUGGAUACUUGGAUUAUGCUUGUGACUUUUGGUCACCAAAUAUGCAUAGAUUACUCUAAAUCUAACCACAGAGGGAAGAGAGCAUUUUUGAAAACAAAGAUGAGUUGUGCAAGGAGAGAAGUGUUCAAAGGAAGCCUGAAUCUAGGCCCAUCUGUAGUGAUCUCAGAGGAGAUGUGGGAAAGGGAGACAUUGUUGUGUGGGUGAUGGGGAUGUCUAGAAACUCCUCUGAUAAGGAAUGUGAUCACUUCUAUGUCUCUGCACAAAUGAUCAGAAUUAAAGCAGAGGGAACAUUUGGAAGAGGGCAGAUGUGAGUAGCUCUGUUAAGAGGAUAGCAGAAAAAGAAAUAGGAAAAUAGGAAAAGUGGUCUUCAAAUAGGAAGAGAGUAAAGAUAAAGUGUUAGGUCAAAUUAUUUUGAGUCAUGAAUAGUUAGUUUGUUGUCUUGUGUUUAUUGGAACAAAAAUAAGGUAGAAAAGUAGAAAUUCUAUGCUGAGCUCAUGAAUCCUCAUAUAUAAAACAGGUGCAAGCUGGGAAGGUGUUCUCAAGCCCUAGAUUUGCAACUGUGAUAGAGGUGCAGACAACAUGAAAAUCGGUUUUUAUUUUCAGCUUUGGUCACUGAUGUAGAUAAGAGAGUGUAUGUGAACAUCUGUGUGUUUGCUGUAGAUGCAUUUUUUUUUUGUCACUGAAGAGAAGUACUGGCCUUUGUCAGAAGAAUGGGAGAAAAAAAGUUGAUGCUUUUGCUGUCACAGUUGUGGUCUGGAACAUAAUGCAAGUAUUAAAACAUCAGGGACUCUCAAGGGCACCAUUAAGGAAUCAACUAUUGUGAUUGAUGGAAAAAUAAAGAAAUCGAAGAAGAAAUGAAGACAAACUACAAUGUGGACUUUUUCCUGCAGUCCCAUGAUAUCUUCAGCAUUAAGUGAUUUUGGCAGAUAAUUUCUACUAUGAAGCAUGUGGAUAGCCAGAAGGCUAUUAAGAGAGAAUGAUACUAUAAUAUAAGCAUGGAGGAUUCUUAUAGAGUGUAUCUUUCGCUCAUUCAAAGUACAUGAUGAAAAAUGAUGUGUCCAGAGUGCUAACAAAUUAUAACAAAGUGCAAAUUUUCCACAUGUAUAUAUUUUUAUGUAUGUAUAUAUAUAUAUAUAUAUAUAUAUAUAUAUAUAAUGUUAAACCACCUUUACUAUCAUAAGCUGGCAUUUUCUCCCCCACCCUGUGCUAUUUAUUUCCUAUUUAUAAAAAUAAUUCCAACUGCAUCUUUUAGCUAAUCCUAGCUAGCUCCAUAUGCAGGCUGACAAUAUGCCUGAGGUGAUAAUAUGUCUGGUCAGUUAGACCAGUGUGUGGUAGAUGUAAAAUCCUUAAAUGGGAAUGCAGGAUUCUGAUGGAAUAAGACCCCAUGUUCACUUUGCACAGAUGAAAAUGAUCUCAUCAUGUGCAAGACGAUAGUGGAUAAGGCUCCUCCUUUCUUCCUGGUACAAAUUAAAUUUGAGUGAUGUAAUGAAUAUAUAAACAUGCAGCUAGAUGGAUUCACUCUCUCUCCCACCCAUCUUUAUCAUUUACAGACUCAUCUUACUAGUUUGGCUUUCCAUGUUCUAUGAAUUAUUUGUGAACAGAUAAAUUAAUUUAAUUACUUUUUAAAAAUUAUAAUUGUGUUUGUGAAACCUUCCUGAAGAAUUGUUGUAAGCCUUUGGAUUACUACAGGGCUGUGCUCACUGUAGUGUUACUGGUCACCUCUGCGGCACAGGAGAGCUACCAGUCUCUUGAACAAUUCCAAACACAGUGUAAAUAUAAAGCUUCUAUUUCUAUCUUUAGAGAGGUUUAUGUGCCCAAAACAUCUGGAUUUUUUUCCAUGCUACCAUAGGCUUGUUAGAAGGCUUUCCUUCUCCCUGUUAGCUAUGUCGAGUUUCUGUGCUUUGACUGUGAUCAUUAUGAGAACAUAUCACACCCGAAAGCAUGUUCAUUUUCCACGUUUUCAUUUUGCCCAGGGAAAGAAUACAAGAGCAAUUUGAAGAGCUAGAUGAUACAGACUGGCAUUCAAAAUGCCAUUUUGCUGGUGCUUAUUUUAAACCUUGUUCUUCCUGGGCCAAAUCGGACUGACUUCAGUCUGUAACAAGCUCCUUUCAAGGUGUAUCUACUUGCAUCUGUGCCAGUUCUCUGGGCAGGAGUGGUACUAGCUGCAGUAACGUCAAUAGUGGUGCCAAUAAUUUUAUCUGUGUUAAAGCCAAUGCUGUGGCCUUAGAUUUAAAAAGCAAAAACCAAACACAAUUCUUCCUCAUGGCAGAGAUUAUGUCAGGCACAGUACAGAAGUAUUUAGAGUGCCAUUUUAUGAGUUAUUGGUACACAUUUUUUCCUAUCACUAUUACAGAACACGUACUGAAGAAGUACAUGGAUCAACAUUGAUGAAAAAAUGCUUAACACUUAUUUGUAUGUCCUAAGUAGGAAUAGUUCUGGAUACUAAAUAAAGGCAUUUCUAAGACCCUGUAUUUGCAGGUGAAGAGGGAAUUUGGCUGAAGCCAAGCAAAUGUUUUUGUGCUGCCUUUGUUUAGAUCAAUUUUGUCUACUCUGCACUCCGUAUCUAGGUUUCCAGUCAACUUCACACACAGAGAACAGACAUACAAAUCUUGGGGAGAAAUAGAAAAGAUUUAUUCUAUUUGCUUUCACAGAACGAAGAUGUUAGUGUAUGCAGAGUUGGGAUAGGUUCCUAUCGUGACAGAACAAAACUGACUUUUCAGCUAGUGCCUUACCAUGGCAAUCUGCUUCAAAGGAGCAACUGUCAUUUUUGAUAAGGAUAGUGAGAAUUACUGUCAUCUGGAGAGAUCACUAUGCCUCUGGGUUGUAUAGUAUGUUACAACAGAAAAAUUUAUUCUUUAAGAGAUAAAUAACUAUUCCACUACAAAAUUUUAUUUCUGGUUUUGAAAAGACGCAGUUUGUACCCUGCAUGAUUAUUAUGUAGCUCCUUAGCUAGCUCUCUUUAAAUAUAAACUUGUGAUAUGCUUUUUUUAAAGUAUAUAUAUAUGGCAGAGAGUCAGGCAGAAAAAGCAGCUAGUUAGUGGAAACCUUCACAGGGCAAGUGGAUUUGGGGAGGGUGCAUGCAGACCACAUGCCUCCCCACAGCCAAGAGCCAAAGAAGCAGCUUGCAGUCUCACAGAAGCCGCGCAGCUGAGCGAGUUAUUAUGGAGAGCUUCUCUGUGGCUGAGCCAGUAAGAGCUGGGUGCUAAACUUGUUUCCGCUUGAAGUUGCUCUUUGCAUACUUGUUAAGGCAGAAUGUUCUACCUUUUCACCUCUGCAAUACUGGGUGUGAAACAUGAGCCUCUAGGUGUUUCCUGGCUGGCAAGAAUUCAAUGGUAAUAAAAUUACUAGUAGAAUAAAUGUUUCAGAGGCAGUUAUCCUCUCUCACCUGUUUGUAAUUUUUUAUUAAUUAUUACAAAUGUGUUUAAGUACUCUACCUGAUUUUAAUCUGCUGUAUUCCCAGGAUUUACAUAUAAAGGUCUUUUUCCCACAGAAUAAUGAAUAAUCACAUAUGUCAGGGUGUGGUGUUAAAAUACUGAAGGUUGGUGAUACACCUACUAGCAAUCGCUCAUUUUGUAAAAGGCUGGGUUCUAGAAGUAGUUUGCUUUUUAUGGCUUUGAUCCAAAAUUCUGUUGAAAUCAGACUCUUAUUGAGUUAAAAAGCUACGGAUCUAGUCCCAAAUGUUCUUUUAUGGGAAGUGUUUGUAGUGCCAUUGUUAACAAUAUAUGCAGCACUGGGCAUGUGAACUGUAUAAGUAGAAAUUUUACUUUUCCCAAAGCUCCUGCUUGCUUUUAUGCAUUCUUUGCUCAAGCAAACAGCAGGUGGCUUACAUGAAUAGUGGGGUUAAUGAGACUACUUAAGUGAGCAAGAGUGGAAAAAAAAUUGCAAACUGGUCCUCUAUUUCAGAGAAUUGAGGACUUGCUAGAUAGAGCUGAGAACUGUAAAGGAUUAAUAUUAUUAUAUAUUGAAAGAAAAGCUGACCAGGAUGGAGGUGGCAGAGGGGAGGAGGGUUUGUUUUUCCAGGAACAGCAGAGCUAAUGAGAUCUAAUGCUUUUGUUUCUUAAUCCCUGAACUGAAUUAAUCUCCCUCCCUUCCCAUGUGAUGUCAUCCCCUAGGUGCAGGGAAGCCGCAGGGCAAGAUGCAAUGCUGCCUGGUCAGCCAAACAGAGGGUGAGGCAGCCUAACUUAGCAGUGCCUCCCCUUAGUAGAGGUACUAACCUUGUCCCUGCUCUCCUACCCCUUUCAAUUCUCAUGAGUUAUAAAGAAACCUAGUUAUCUUUUUCAUUUCAGAUUGGAUUGAAAUAGGACAAUGAACUCACAAGUUAUUUGGGAGGCGAGAAGAAAAGAUAAUACAAUUGUGUAGUCCAUUUUCUUACCAACAACAAAAAUUAUCCUGAACUCCACUUGGUUGAACAUAUAAUUCUCCAUUCAGAUCCCAUAACAACAUGGCCUUUAUGAAUUUCUGAAUACUUUACUUUCAGAAUAAUAUACCUCAAAAAGAGUAAGCCCUAAUGAGUGAUAAAGUAGGAACUGGAUCAUGUGGAUAAUAGUUGUGAUUUCUCACUAUGCCAUAUUUAUGCCAAGCAGCAUGUUACCUUUGCUGCCAAACAGGGAGGAUGAGGAGGAAAUAUUUUAUACAGUUUUAGGUUUUGUUCUCUUUUUCGAUUUUCUCUUCCAUCUCAAUAUUACUGAUUUGACAAGAUGCAAAGAACAAAAAUACCAACCUACUGCAAGAAGUGAAUUUUACACUGGGCCUAUAAUAUCUGUAAAGGAAACAGUUUGUAAGUAACUGAAGCCUUGAUGGGAUUUGAGAAGAUUGGAUUUUGAAUGUCAAUGGAUCUCAAACUGUAGCUACACAGCUGGAUGCCAGUGUUAUCUGGGCAAGUAUCAAGUAGGAUUUCACAGCAUAGUGGCUACUUAAAAAAUUCCCAACACUCUUGCCUAGCAGACAAGAUUUAUAAAUAUGAACAGUUAGUGUUUGAAAGUUAAGGAAGUCACAAAGACCCAGCAACAAAGCAAUCCAACAGAGGAAUCUUCUUCCCACUUUUAAACUCAGAAAGUGAUUGCUCUCAAGCAAAAGUGACAUCAAAUGCUUUUUUAGAUAAAAGGCAGUACAAAUAAGAAAGAUCCUCCAGGAGAGGCUUUAAAGUGUCUUUCAAAAUUAGCAAGCACAAAAAGCCCAUAGGUCAAGAAUCAAGUCCUCUCCUGUAAUCCGUGUUCACUCAGAUAGCAUUUCAAGCUCAAGCUCCUGGAACUGACCUUCAAAAAGUCAUUUCUUCAUGAAAUGCAUGUUAUUCUAUUGUCGCUAUUCAUCCACCUCUAAACACCUGGCAUCAGGCAAAGUUCAAGGGAAUCAAACAUUGAACUGACCCCUUGAGGGGGAAAAAAGUAAGAGCAGCACCAGGACUGGACAAAAGGCUGGAAAAUGGACAUUGAUAUGUGGAGCAGUGAGUAUUGUGUGGUCACUGAUCUUGACAAUUACUAAGUUUGGAAUAAAUUGUGCUAUAAAAAUUAAUAUACUCAUUGUACAUAUAUUAUGUGUAAACACAAGCAUUUUCUUGCUGAUGAGCCUUGCAUGUUGCUUGGAAUUAGCUAAUAUAAGAAUUAGUAGAAAUUGUAUCCCUACCAGUGCCUCCUUCAAUUUUGUGCUUGAAAACAAUUUCAACAAUUUAUGAAGUGGAAAUACACAAUAAAGGUAACUUGUAA